rnacentral:rRNA from 1 species
GAUGAACGCUGGCGGCGUGCCUAAUACAUGCAAGUCGAGCGAACAGACGAGGAGCUUGCUCCUCUGACGUUAGCGGCGGACGGGUGAGUAACACGUGGAUAACCUACCUAUAAGACUGGGAUAACUUCGGGAAACCGGAGCUAAUACCGGAUAAUAUAUUGAACCGCAUGGUUCAAUAGUGAAAGACGGUUUUGCUGUCACUUAUAGAUGGAUCCGCGCCGCAUUAGCUAGUUGGUAAGGUAACGGCUUACCAAGGCAACGAUGCGUAGCCGACCUGAGAGGGUGAUCGGCCACACUGGAACUGAGACACGGUCCAGACUCCUACGGGAGGCAGCAGUAGGGAAUCUUCCGCAAUGGGCGAAAGCUUGACGGAGCAACGCCGCGUGAGUGUUGAAGGUCUUCGGAUCGUAAAACUCUGUUAUUAGGGAAGAACAAAUGUGUAAGUAACUAUGCACGUCUUGACGGUACCUAAUCAGAAAGCCACGGCUAACUACGUG